UAAAUAUGUUUUCUGAUUUUCUUUAUUUUUGGCAUCAUUGCUCGCGUACCCUGCAAAAGUUUUUUCUUUUCACAAUGUGCAGGUUGUAACAUCAAAAUCAGCCAAUCAGAAACUGGUCCAUUUUGGAACAAAAGCAGCCCCCCCAGAUGUCAGGUCUUGUCUUAGGGUAUAACGAAGCGAGAAAAAGCAACCUGGCAACGUUGCUAGACUCCUUCCAUUAUUGUCAAAACAAAAUGAGCAAAACGAUAGAAAUGUACCCGUCGAAUUCUGCCUAAUGGAUUAUGAACUACGAAAAGCCGAUUUAGAGCGAAAAGCGAAAGUUUUCUGUAAAUGUACUAAAAUCAAUCAUACAAAGUGAAAUGGAGGUUUGUUUUGCACGAGAUGGGAUACUAGAAACGCAAGAAACAGAAAACAGUUCUGUAGCCUUUUCCUCAUCAUCCGCUCCAACAAUCGAUUCGCCAAUAAAACUCGAAUAUGAGAUUGGUGAUGAGGAAUUCACACAAAAUAGUGAUCUUCAUCUCGAAUAUCAGAUUUGUGAUGAGGAAUUCACACAAAAGAGUGACCAUAAAGACGUCUUAGUACCGAAAGAGGAACAGAUUUACAGUUGCGAAAUUUGCGAGAAACAAUUUUCUUCGAAGAAUGCCCUGAAGCAGCACAUGAUCGUUCAUACUGAAGACAAACCAUUUCAGUGUAAUGUGUGUGGCAAAGGAUUCCAGUAUUAUCAUAAAUUAAAGGACCACAGCAAUAUUCACACUGGUGAACGUCCCUACAGUUGCACUGUAUGCGAAAAAAAAUUUUCCAUGAAGCGUUACCUAACUAAACACAUGGCUAAUCACCAAAGUGAGUACAAAUAUAAAUGCGAAGUGUGUGGCAAAGGCUUUAAUAAUGGUGGUAAUCUCGCGAGUCACCAACGCAUUCAUACGAACGAAAAGUUAAAAUGCACCAUUUGCGAGAAAGAUUAUUCCAAUAAGUAUUAUCUCAGCAGACACAUGAAAAUUCACGUGGAUGGCUUCGAGCGUAAGUGUGAUGUGUGUGGCAAAGUAUUUGUGACCAGAUUACGCUUGGAAGAUCAUAAACGCCUUCAUACAGGAGAGAGACCGUUCAAAUGUACUGUAUGUGGAAAAGAUUUCUCGACUAAGGUUUACUUAACUAAACACAUGUCUAUUCACCAAAGUGAGUUCAAAUAUAAAUGCGAAGUGUGUGGCAAAGCCUGGAAUAAUUGUGUUAACCUAUCGAAACACAAACGCAUUCAUACAAACGAGAAGUUUGAAUGCACUAUAUGCGAGAAAGAUUUUUCCAAUAAGUAUAAUCUCAGCGCACACAUGAAAAUCCACAUGGAUGAUUACGAGCAUAAGUGUGAUGUGUGCGGCAAAGGAUUCACCUGCAAAUCACUUUUGAAAGACCACGAAAAUAUUCACACCGGUGAACGGCCUUACAAGUGCACCGUAUGUGGGAAAGAUUUCGUCGUUUUGGCUUACCUAAAAAAACACAUGCUUACUCACACGGAUGAUUACAAUAAUAAGUGUGACGUUUGUGGCAAAGGUUUUGUGACCAGGAAUCUUCUGAAAGAUCAUAAACGCUGUCAUACAGGAGAGCGACCGUACAAAUGCACUGUAUGUGGGAAAGCUUUCGCGUCUAAAACUUACCUAUCCAGACACAGGUCUAUUCACGAAAGGGAUUACAAGUACAGGUGUGAAGUGUGUGGUAAAGGCAUGAACGAUAGUUCUGGCUUCGCAAAACACAAAAGCCUUCAUACGAACGAGAAGUAAAUUUAUCAUAUGCGGAAGAGAUUUUAGCUCUAAGAUUGGCCAAGGAUUCACAAAAGCAAACAUUUAGAGGUAGUUUUGAAACUUAUAUUGAGAAAUCGUUUUGUUCAUUUUUCAAGAGCACUUAUUUUUAGACAAAUAAAUUUUGCCGCUCUAUCACCUAAGUUCGAUGUUUGGAUAAUUUUUCU